UACGUAGGGGGCAAGCGUUGUCCGGAUUUAUUGGGCGUAAAGAGCUCGUAGGCGGCUUGGCAAGUCGGGUGUGAGACCUCCAGGCUCAACCUGGAGACGCCACUCGAUACUGCCAUGGCUAGAGUCCGGUAGGGGACCACGGAAUUCCUGGUGUAGCGGUGAAAUGCGCAGAUAUCAGGAGGAACACCGGUGGCGAAGGCGGUGGUCUGGGCCGGCACUGACGCUGAGGAGCGAAAGCGUGGGUAGCAAACAGG
rnacentral:rRNA from 1 species